CUAAACCUGACUUCUCAGUGUUGCUGUGGACUGGCUCUGCUUGCUCAGCCUGUCUAGUUAUCCAGGUUUUUCUGUCCAGUCCACCGAGCUGAGACUGGACAAGUGCUGUUACAGGAGUUCUUGAGAAGCUUUCAGUGCUCUGAAAGUGACUGAUCCCACUCCCCCAAAGCAGCGUGACACGAUGCUGUUCCUGUCCGUGUUCAGCUGAAUAGCUAAGUGCCUCCUUAACUUGAAAUGUAAUUUUAGGACUUACGCAUGGGGAAGAAAAGCUCUGUGAAGGACUUCACAUCACCUCUGGUGGAUUAAUUCCUUCGCAUAAGAAGGAGGUUUCCCUACAGUAUCGCUGUUUCUUAAACUACAGAUCUUGGCUACGGGCAUGAGCUCCUGGGCAAGCCUGCGAAGAAAGGCUUCAUCUGCAGCAGCCACAACUUUACAUCUGGAGCUCCUUUGGAGUGUGUCUCACUGCCAUGGCAGCACACUUCAACUAAGCAGAUGUGAGCUCUUUUUUUUCAGCAAGAUCUGUGGCAGAAAUUGUCAUGUGACUACGGGAUGGCAACAAAGGAAAGGACUCGUGUAGCAUUAUAUGAGCUAAUGCUAUCCUUGUUAGUGUUCCUGUUCCUUGGCAUGUCUGUGUAAGCGUUGUACCAGCAAGCAGGAUUGGUGCUUUUGAACAGAUGGGCCUGAGCACAGCCUGAGCCAAGGGAAACAUGCGUGUGAAUCACUUGUGGGUGUUAAGGGCAGGAUUCCCAUUUGAUAGCAUCACAGCAGGUAUAAGGGUGCAAACAUUUAACAAUCAAACUGCUUGAGCUUCUGAACAAUGCAUGAUAAAUAGUUAAAUUGCUGUUAGUGGGGAGGAGGAAGCCUCUCCAGGUAGACACGUAGGGCAGCAGAGGUUUUAGAGAUGCAAGUCUCUUCUGUUACUAAUGAGACAAAGUAGCCCUGGCCCGUGAUUUUGAGGCCAGGAAGGCAAGUAGGCUUCUAAUGCAUGCGUUUAGUGAAACACAAGGACAGAUUUUUCAGCUAUUUCCCUUUGAUUACCAGGUGCUAAAGUGUCUAUUGCAAGAAAGCAAUGAAAGUGCUUUAAUUAUGUUUCCAUAAACAGGAUUCUAAUUCCUGGACUGAAGCCUGAAGGAGUAUUACAGUGUGUCAACUGGUAUGGGCCAGUGUACUAGUUGCUUUGUUUUGGCUUGUGCAAUUCAGAAGAGCCUAAAGGUGUUCAAUCCCAGGUUACUCAUGAUUUUCUUAUGUUUCUUUGAAAAUCUCCUCUUUAAUGUUCACUAUAAAAUAAACCUUGUUGACAUUGGACGUGUUUAUAGUACAAGGCUCCAAGAGCUCUCUUUUCUGUGCUUCCCAGUCUGGGCACACAAAUUAGCCAGGCGUUAUUUCCAGAUGGAAUAAGACUUGCGCAAGCACACCAUUCCCCCAGACCUUGGAUUUUAAGGAAAGGAAACAUGCCUGGAUAGGAGCAAAGACGUGGUCCAACAGAUGUCCUACUGGACAAGGCAAGGAGGAAUAUAAGUGUCAUGUUAACAUACCCACUAUUAAAUCCAAGCUCUGGCAUAGACACUUCUUUAUGUCUUUAAGUCUUUUUAUACACAGAAUAGAUCCAAAUCUGGUGCUUCCUGAAUACCCUGCCACCUAUUUAGUAGUUUUUUGGUUUGGUUUGAUUUUGCAUUCAAGGGGAUGGACUGACAUACACGUAUUAUUGUCAAGGCUACAACUGAAACAAUUUAACCUGAUGUAAAAAAAAAAAAAAGAAAUCUUUGCAGUGUUGGACAUCAUGCUUCCACUGUGGGUAAAAGGUCAGACAAUGCCAGACAAUUACAGAAACAGAACAUUAAGUUUGUAGAGACCACACUCCAGAAUUUGAAAUGCUGGAGCGUGAGUUGGCUAAACUGUAUGGUGCAUACUGGUAUUCCCAUUAACAACAAUACAGAGGCACACAUAUAUUAUCAGCUGAUGGCAAAUGUGCACUCAGAAAUAUGUAACAAUGUUUAUGGCUUUUGCAGGAUCAAUAAAGUUCAUUGUUGUGAAGCCCAAAUAGCUCCCUUUGGCGCAGCUCUCUUUACAGCAGCUUUCAACAACAAAGACCUUGUUGGAGGGAUUUUAAAAAUGAUAAUGUAGUUUCAAAAAUACUUCUAAUUUAUAUAAUUUUUACUAAAUUGAAGCAUUUGAUAAGUUAGUAAAGUAACACAAAACCAGAACAGGAAGUAUUAAAUUCAGUUUAAUUUGGCUGCUGGUAUAUUACAAGGUUCUCCCAAAUAAAGAUGUACUUUUACUUCAGAAGAUCAGCAUUGUUUUGGUUUGCUGGUAAGAAAAUAUGCAGUGCUGAUCUGAAAUGUGACUUGACACCUGAAAAUGUAACCUAGAACUAGCAAAAGGAUUAAAAGAAAACAUGCUGGCCUGCCAACUUGUUAGCUUAGCACCUUACUUACA